AUACGUCCAGCUCGCGCAAUGACAUAAGUUUUUCUUUUCGUUAAUAGUAUAUUAUGCAACAAGUGCGGUAAACGGCCUUUGACUCACGAGUUUAUUUGUCACGAGCGGAGCGAGUGCUUAAUAAACGAGUGCCUUAAAAAGUUAACGACCGUGUCGCAUACUAUACUUUUUCUACGACCAUUAAUUUUUGGAUACAUUUAUGCAACAAAAAACACGAACGCAUUCACUGACAUGAUCGUCAGAAUUGACAAACUUCAAAAUUCAAGCCGUGGGAAAUAUGUCCAAAGAUAUCCGACUGCUCCCACACCACAAAUGAUGGUGGUGGUAGCAAGUGAACGAAAAUCUAGAGCGGCGUUCGGGUACGGGCGGGGGGGUGGUUUGUAACAACCGAUACGCCAACAGCUGGGUCGUGACAUAUACGUGAUCGAGUGACAGAAUUUUUAGGUUAGAACCAGCGAUUUUUAUAGGGAAUUCAGUUAAUUGUGAAUAGUAAAUUCAUAGGGUAAUGCAGAAAAGGAACAUAACCCCUUAACAAAUAGUUUUUCACGACGACUUUAUGUAUUAUUCAUGCAGAAGGUGUAACGGAACGAGGAAUAAAGUUUAAUAAAUAUAUGUAUAUUCGAAUUAUUCGAAUUAACAAAAUAUCAAGCGCCAGGAAAAGUUGAAAAGAAUGGUGUAUUCAUCUUAAGGAAGGAACAACAUAAUCAUGAACACUUGAAGGACCAAAUACAAGACAGGAGUUGCAAGCAUGUGUAAGAAAGGAGACCAAAAGAAUAUAUGCAAUAGACUUGCGGCAAGGUAAAGAAGAUAUUAGUAAUAAAAAUAUUUGUAGAAAUGUAUAGUACAUUACACUAUACGACUGAAACUACAUAAGUAUUAAUAAAUUUCAAUUAUUUUAACGUAAUUUUAGAAACUCAGUAUGUACCUCUAGGCAGAGGUGGAGGCAAUAGAA